CAUCAUCACCAUCAUCCUGACUAGUCUUUCAGGCGAUGUGUGCUGGAAGACGUUUAAAUCUUCCAGUGGUGCAUGAACGCAGAAAAAAGCCCCCGGAAGAUCAUCUUCCGGGGGCUUUUUUU
rnacentral:sRNA from 1 species